rnacentral:rRNA from 1 species
UACAGAGGGUGCAAACGUUGUUCGGAAUUACUGGGCGUAAAGCGUGUGUAGGCGGUUUUGUAAGUCGGGCGUGAAAGCCCCGGGCUCAACCCGGGAAGUGCACUCGAUACUGCGGAACUGAGUUUCGGAGAGGUUGGUAGAAUUCUUGGUGUAGAGGUGAAAUUCGUAGAUAUCAAGAGGAAUACCGGUGGCGAAGGCGGCCAACUGGACGAAAACUGACGCUGAGACACGAAAGCAUGGGGAGCAAACAGG